rnacentral:lncRNA from 1 species
UUGGGGUUGGUAUUCAAUCUAGAUCCGAUGCUUGUUCUUAGGUUGGAUUUUUUCUUGAAUUUACGUUAGGGUUUCUGGAAUUUUAUAGAAUCUGAUCUAUUAUUUGGAAUCCUCUUUGUUCGGUUGGUUUAAAUUAGGGGUUUUAGUUUUUGUUAGUAGUCAUUUCUUUUUUUCUUCUUGAUUUUGCUCUGAUUUAUGGGUUCAAUGGCACUAACCUAUGGAUUUUUUAUCUGACUCUCAGACGAUCAUUAUUCUUUUACAAUUUAUUUAAUAAAUA